AGAGUUUGAUUCUGGCUCAGAAUGAACGCUGGCGGCGUGCUUAACACAUGCAAGUCGUACGAGAACGUCUUAGCUUGCUAAGAUUAGUAAAGUGGCGCACGGGUGAGUAACGCGUGGAUAAUCUACCUUCGAAUCGGGGAUAACAUUGCGAAAGCGAUGCUAAUACCGGAUAAUAUCUAUUAUUCUUCGGGAUUUUAGAUCAAAGAUGGCCUCUACUUGUAAGCUAUUGUUUGAAGAUGAGUCCGCGUCCCAUUAGCUUGUUGGUGGGGUAAUGGCCUACCAAGGCAACGAUGGGUAGCUGGUCUGAGAGGAUGAUCAGCCACACUGGAACUGACACACGGUCCAGACUCCUACGGGAGGCAGCAGUGAGGAAUUUUGCGCAAUGGGGGAAACCCUGACGCAGCAACGCCGCGUGAGUGAUGAAGGCUUUCGGGUCGUAAAGCUCUGUCAAGUGGGAAGAAAAUAUAUAUAGCCAAUACCUUUAUAUACUGACGGUACCACUGAAGGAAGCACCGGCUAACUCCGUGCCAGCAGCCGCGGUAACACGGGGGGUGCAAGCGUUAUUCGGAUUCACUGGGCGUAAAGAGCGCGUAGGCGGCCAGGUAAGUCAGAUGUGAAAGCCCGGGGCUCAACCCUGGAAGUGCAUCUGAAACUGCUUGGCUUGAGUAUGGGAGAGGGUAGUGGAAUUCCUGGUGUAGAGGUGAAAUUCGUAGAUAUCAGGAGGAACACCGGUGGCGAAGGCGACUACCUGGACCAAUACUGACGCUGAGGCGCGAAGGCGUGGGGAGCAAACAGGAUUAGAUACCCUGGUAGUCCACGCAGUAAACGUUGUUCACUAGGUGUAGCGGGUAUUGACCCCUGCUGUGCCGCAGCUAACGCAUUAAGUGAACCGCCUGGGAAGUACGGCCGCAAGGCUAAAACUCAAAGAAAUUGACGGGGGCCCGCACAAGCGGUGGAGCAUGUGGUCUAAUUCGACGCAACGCGAAGAACCUUACCUGGAUUUGACAUCCUGGGAAUUCUAUCGAAAGACUGAAGUGCCCUUCGGGGAACCCGGUGACAGGUGCUGCAUGGCUGUCGUCAGCUCGUGUCGUGAGAUGUUGGUUAAGUCCCGCAACGAGCGCAACCCCUGUCUUUAGUUGCCAGCAUUCAGUUGGGGACUCUAAAGAUACCGCCCCGGUUAACGGGGAGGAAGGUGGGGAUGACGUCAAGUCCUCAUGGCCUUUAUGUCCAGGGCUACACACGUGCUACAAUGGGCUGUACAGAGGGUAGCGAUGCCGCGAGGUGGUGCCAAUCCCAAAAAGCAGUCCCAAGUUCGGAUUGGAGUCUGCAACUCGACUCCAUGAAGUUGGAAUCGCUAGUAAUCGCGGAUCAGCAUGCCGCGGUGAAUACGUUCCCGGGCCUUGUACACACCGCCCGUCACACCAUGAGAGUUGAUUGUACCGGAAGUUGUUGGGCCAACCUUUCGAGGAGGCAGGCACCUAUGGUAUGAUUGAUGAUUGGGGUGAAGUCGUAACAAGGUA
rnacentral:rRNA from 1 species